AGAAUGAGAGGAGGCUUUGGAAUGCAUCUUUGAUAGGCUUCCACCACUUGUUUAGGCUGAUUUCAGUUCUCUGAGAGAAACACAUGAAAAAAUAGGGUGCUCUGCUGCUUGCAAAUAAUGGCAAGCUACACUGCCUCAAGAAAUAGUGCUUCACUCUUGGAAAAAGAGAGACAUACCUGGGAAUUUUGAGAAAUUAGGCAACAUUUGUGGAACACAUAAAAAAAUGAAAAUGACAGCAGCAAAGUUAUAAGUUCUUCAGCAAUGAACAAGUUCGUUUACUCUAAAUUUUCUUAGCCCUUUCGCCUAACUGUGGAUGGACUCCACCACAUAGGAGGCAAAUAUAAUAUAGGAAAACAUAAAUGGAAUUUGCUAAAAGCACCAAAUUUUGAUACUCCUCAUGUAUAAGACUGCUUAAAUAAUCUGAAACUUGACUAUCGAAUUGAGAUGCAGUGUAGAAUUUAGCACUUUCUUAAUUCCAUAACUUGUUUGUCAUAGCAUAGGAAUAUAGUCUCGAAGUUCUGCUCAUUCAGAGCCUCAAUUAGAAUUCAAGGAAAAUCAAUCAUGGAAAUCAUAAUUUUUAACAAAUACUAAAAGUAAUUGAGGUCAACUAACCAAAAAUACUAUGAUUGAAUAGUAAAAAUAUUUAUGAUGUAUAUAUAGCAAAAUUCUCUACGUGCAGUGAGAGGUUAUAAGUGAAAAAAAGCAACAAUUAAGUUUUGAUUGUUAGUACACAGUUUUGUGGUACUUAUUUUCCUUUCUGGGUAUGAAAGAGGCAAUGGGCAUACCAAAUCCUGCACAAAUAACAUAUAAAC
rnacentral:lncRNA from 1 species